UACGUAGGGUGCAAGCGUUAAUCGGAAUUACUGGGCGUAAAGCGUGCGCAGGCGGUUUUGUAAGUCUGACGUGAAAUCCCCGGGCUCAACCUGGGAAUUGCGUUGGAGACUGCAAGGCUGGAGUUUGGCAGAGGGGGGUAGAAUUCCACGUGUAGCAGUGAAAUGCGUAGAGAUGUGGAGGAACACCGAUGGCGAAGGCAGCCCCCUGGGUCAAGACUGACGCUCAGGCACGAAAGCGUGGGGAGCAAACAGG
rnacentral:rRNA from 1 species